AUGCAAGAUGCAACACGACGACGAAACGAAGCGCGAUGGUGGAUAGUAGGUGUGGGUACCUCACGGUCGGGGGACACUGGGCCGUCGUCGCUUCCUCCCGGCACGGCACCCGCAGCGGCCACCACCACCGCCAACCGACGACUCUUGGUCUUGGAGGCCAGGAAGGUCGUGGGGAUCCCCAGCGCUAGCGUGUUGCCAUGACGAGGCGGUGCUCCGGUAGAGAUGAGGUCGUAGCAGGUGAAGAAACCGGCCGGGGACGACACGACGUCGGGCUGAAACUCAGAGAAACCAGUUGUUUGAUUAGUCCUUUGAAACUAGAACGAAAAACAGACAGUUGAACCCGAAUAUGGAUGGAAAAAGAGAAACAGCAAAAAGAACAUAUACCGCGUCAGGAUUUUGUUCAGAAAUCGUUCUUGUGAGAAAAGAUGUAAUCUUUACGCAAUCAGGGUGGGGUUGGCCACGAACGCAAUUGGGCGCUGCGAAACCUUGAAUAUCUCCAUCUCCAAUCGGAACGCCGACACUGGCCUGAAAAUCAGAGCACCUAGUUGUUUGGUUAGUAGUUUCAAACUAGAACGGAGUACCGACAGCUGAACCUGAACAUAGAUGGGAAAUAAGAAAAACAGCAAACGAACAUAAUCUAGGCCAAGAAACAAUGAGAUUCUUCCUCAAGAAAAAGAUGCAAUCUUUAUCCAGUACUUGCAUAGUUGUGUUCAAAAUCAUAGGUAAACGCGAAAGAGUUUGAUUAGUUGUUUCAGACAAGAACAAACGUCCACGGGUUAAUUUUUAUGAACAGCUAGGUACUUGCAGUCUGUCCAAAUUUCAAAAUCAGAUAGCUGGCAUACUGAUGAAAGUGGGAGUAAACAACAGUCUCAUAAACUGGGCUAAGAUCUGUUUAGCACACAAUUGAGACAAGAUCCAAAACGAUGGAGAAAACAAACUGGGCCAAAAUUUGGCCCAUUGAGGGGGCCUCUCCACCGAUUUGCACUAGGCUGCUAGAUGAACGAAACUCUCAACUUUAGAUUGGCACAACACCACAUAACCAAGUAAGAAUGCAAGAUGCAACACGGCGACGAAACGAAGCGCGAUGGUGGAUAGUAGGUGUGGGUACCUCACGGUCGGGGGACACUGGGCCAUCGUCGCUUCCUCCCGGCACGGCACCCGCAGCGGCCACCACCACCGCCAACCGACGACUCUUGGUCUUGGAGGCCAGGAAGGUCGUGGGGAUCCCCAGCGCCAGCGUGUUGCCAUGACGAGGCGGUGCUCCGGUAGAGAUGAGGCCGUAGC
rnacentral:lncRNA from 1 species